UACGAGGGGUGCAAGCGUUGCUCGGAAUUAUUGGGCGUAAAGGGUAGGUAGGUGGUCUCAUUUGUCCGGGGUGAAAGCCUUGAGCUUAACUCAAGAAGUGCCUCGGAAACGGUGAGACUGGAGUCCUGGAGAGGGUCGUGGAAUUCCCGGUGUAGCGGUGAAAUGCGUAGAGAUCGGGAGGAACACCCAUAGCGAAGGCAGCUUGCUGGGACGUAACUGACGCUGAGACGCGAAAGCGUGGGGAGCAAACAGG
rnacentral:rRNA from 1 species